CAUUGGGAUUUCAAAAUGUUUGUGCUCUGACAAGGCGCUCAUCACAAGGUCUUUUGAUUAAACCUCCAUCUCCACAGUCUUACGAGGAGCAAAUAAGCAACCAUCUGAACGCGGGAGAGGGGUAAUUUCAACAGCCUCUUAAUUAAUAACAAAUGACGUUCUGAAAUAUCUAAAAAUAUAUAUGCUGGUGGAAUCCCGCGGAGCUUCUUUGUUCAUGAUUUAACGCCCUCUGCCAUUCGCUGAUGGGCUGUGAAUUGGCCCUGGGUCCGCUCAUUUGCUCCCGGAGAUAACAACCGGCCGCAGCCCGGGCCUCGGGCCUCAGGAGUAGCAGGUGGCUUGGUCUUCAUGAAGAAGGGAAAUGAUCUGUUGGAAACUGAGCUGACAUCUAUGUGCAGCGUGUCCUUACUACGUUGCUCUGCGUCGGGCACACAGUAAGCUGCGAUAAACUGUCAUUAAGCGGUAGAAUCGAUGAGUGGCCGCCGCGUGUGUGGGAUUCCGAGGAGUGGAGAAGCAGUGGAUUGUGAGAUUGAGCUCUCAAUAUGUAAAUAUGGAUAUUAUCUAUUAGAUAAUUUUAACCAGAAGCCUUUUUCCAAAAAGUGAUGGCCUGACUGCCUUGGACCUCGGGUGGACUUCUUAGACCAGGCAUGUUUGCCUUUGGUAGGAUGGGACAAGAAGCCAAGGGCUUCUACCACUAUAGACUCUCUACAAGCUGCAGACCUCCAGACACUGACCCAUGUUGUGUGAACAACCCUUACAGCCUCUCUGUAGUGCAUAGUCUCGGUUUUCCUAGCAGUUUCAUUUAGAUGAGAAGCAACUGCUGUGCCAGUGAAGCGUGUGUGCAGUUUCUUGGGUUGUUCCAGCUCUGUCUCAUUAAAGGAGAACAUCUUUAACAACUUUGUGUCAAG
rnacentral:lncRNA from 1 species